GACUAGCCCUUAAGCUUUACACGCGUUAGACGAACAGCCUGGAAAGGCUGACGAUACAGGGUGAUAGUCCCGUAGUUGACGACGUGUGUUCAGUGAAAUCGAGUAGGGCGGGACACGUGAUAUCCUGUCUGAAUAUGGGGGGACCAUCCUCCAAGGCUAAAUACUACUGACUGACCGAUAGUGAACCAGUACCGUGAGGGAAAGGCGAAAAGAACCCCUGUGAGGGGAGUGAAAUAGAACCUGAAACCGUGUACGUACAAGCAGUAGGAGCAGGCUUGUCCUGUGACUGCGUACCUUUUGUAUAAUGGGUCAGCGACUUAUAUUCAGUGGCAAGGUUAACCAUCUAGGGGAGCCGUAGGGAAACCGAGUCUUAACUGGGCGUUCAGUCUCUGGAUAUAGACCCGAAACCAGGUGAUCUAGCCAUGGGCAGGUUGAAGGUUGAGUAACAUCAACUGGAGGACCGAACCGACUAAUGUUGAAAAAUUAGCGGAUGACUUGUGGCUAGGGGUGAAAGGCCAAUCAAACCUGGAGAUAGCUGGUUCUCCCCGAAAGCUAUUUAGGUAGCGCCUCGGACGAAUACUACUGGGGGUAGAGCACUGUUAAGGCUAGGGGGUCAUCCCGACUUACCAACCCUUUGCAAACUCCGAAUACCAGUAAGUACUAUCCGGGAGACACACGGCGGGUGCUAACGUCCGUCGUGGAGAGGGAAACAACCCAGACCGCCAGCUAAGGUCCCAAAUUACUACUAAGUGGGAAACGAUGUGGGAAGGCUCAGACAGCCAGGAUGUUGGCUUAGAAGCAGCCAUCAUUUAAAGAAAGCGUAAUAGCUCACUGGUCGAGUCGGCCUGCGCGGAAGAUGUAACGGGGCUAAGUAGUAAACC
rnacentral:rRNA from 1 species